AAAUAAUUAAUGUACUAUUUAGUAUUUACUAUUGUACGAAUAUACUUAUAGUGAUAUACCUAGGUAGUGUUAAAUGCAUUUAUAAAUUCAAUAUUUGUUUUAACAAGAUUCAACGCGGAAUGACUGUCUAAAUAAAUGUCACUUAACGAUUGCCUCUUUAGACUGAAAAAAAAUCUCGCUACUAUACUCUACUACUAUUGAUGCUGGAGGAUCAGGAUUAGAGACUUUAGGGCCGAGCUAGUUUAUUUAAUAAACUUUAUCCCGGUUCGUUACCUACGUACCAAAGUCUCUAGGGAUUGCUCGUCAUGUCUUGACGGAAUUUUCGUCGCCGUGUCUCAGAGGUUUGACUUUCUUUACACGAUGGCUGACAUUACAGAACCGGUUAAUGUUUUUUUAGAAACUAGCCAAGACUAUGUUAACGAUAAUGGUCAACCAAAUGCGAUCGAUGUCCUAAUUUUUGACAACAAUCCUGUGCUACCGAAUAAUAUAUCUCAUUUACAUAGCAACUCAUUAAGUAGCGAUGAGGCUGAGAAUACACCAUUGCCGACUGAUAUAUCUCAUUUGAAUUGCAACUUGUUGAGUAACAACAAGGCUAUGAACAUACCACUGUUGUCUGAUACAUGUCAUUUAAACAGUGAUGAUGCUAAUAUACCUCCGCUGACUGAUACAUCUAAUCUAAAUAGCAACUUGUUGAGUAGCGAUGAGGCUUUGAAUACACCACUACUCUCAGAGACAUCUCAUUUAAAUAGCGACGAGGCUGAGAAUACACCACUACUCUCGGAGACAUCUCAUUUAAAUAGUGACGAGGCUGAGAAUACACCACUGCUGUCUGUUACAUCUCAUCAAAAUAACAACUUGUUGAGUAGCGAUGAGGCUUUGAAUACACCACUGCUGUUAGAUACAUCUAAUUUAAAUAGCGAUGAGGCUGUGAAUACACCACUGCUAUCAGAUACAUCUUAUUUAAAUAGUAACGAGGCUAUGAAUACACCAUUGCUGUUUGAUACAACUCAUUUAGAUAGUGACGAGGCUGUGAAUACGCCGCUACCUUCUGAUUCAUCUCAUUUAAAUAACGAGGCUGUCAAUACACUAACUACUCCUUCCCUUCAAGAUUCACUAAAUGAUAUGGAUGUGGAUGUUUUUGAUUCAUUACUAGACAAACCUGCUAGUACUAGUUCUAAGCAAAUUGAGGAUUACAAGAUUGGUGAUAUUGUUUGGGCUAAAAUUGGGAAGUAUCCAUAUUGGCCAAGCAUUAUCUGUGUUGACCCAACAUUGAAUAUUCAUUAUAAAGAAAAAAAGCGUUUAUUGAUACAUGUCCGCUUUUGUAAUGAUAAAGGUAGAAGAAGUUGGGCCACAACUACUGAAAGUUACAAUGGAAAAUGUGAAUUACUUUUAAAGUAUCCUAAUACUUUAACUUACUUUAAGAAUAGUAAAAAGCUUAUUGAUACGUGGGAAUUGGCAGUUGAAGAAGCUGAUAAUUUGAUGAAACUUGAUAGAGAAUCGAGAUUGAUAGAAUUUUUCAAAUCUUUUUGUAAUUCAGAUUCUGUAACUCCAUCUGUUUUAAAUAAAUCAUCUGAAGGCACUGUUGCUGCUUUAAAAGUACGUACUUAUUCAAGAAAAAGAUCUCUAGCAGUUCCUGAACAAGAUAAUGAUUUAAAAAUAAUGAAGACUGAAAACAUAGCUAUGAAUUGUACAUCAUCAAGAUCAAUAGAUAUUCCUUUAUUGUCAAGAUCAGAUGAUGUGGAUAGUACUGUUUCUGAUUUUUCUAUGAGCUAUGCUUUUAUGGAAGACUUAGAUUUAAAAGUAAAACAGGAAACUGUAAAAAAAAGAAGAUCAACAAAAACGUAUCCACCAAAAAGUUCAGUUGCCAAUAAACAUGAUUUAUCUUAUUCAAUAAUGAAUUCUCCAGAAAAUAAUGAUAGUAAUAGUGUAUCUGAUAAUCAAGAUAAAUACCCGGUUACAACCACAACAUCUUAUUCUCGUUUGGUACCUCAUCAUAGGAAACUCGAAAUAAGCAUAUUAGAAGGAGAAUAUGAUCAAGAUAAUAUUAUUUUUCCAAGUUCACGUCGUUCAAAAAAAAAAAAUACAAUUCAUAUCAAUACCAACUCAAAUAAAGAAAUCAAUUUAAUUAACGGUGAUCAUUCUAUACGUUUACAAAGUUCAUCCAAUUCUAAGAAAACAGUUACUAGAAAACGACUUAUUGAAAAAGAAAACUCUACUGGAAGAAAAUCUACUACAGUUAAACAUGAAAGUAGCCCAGAACCAGAUACGACAGAAAGUGAAGCUUCUUCAAAAAAUGAAACAUACAGUUCAGUUUUCUUAACUAGUUCACAAAACAAACAGCUUUUUACAAAAACCUGGAAAAGAGCGUGUGUAGUUUGUAAAAAUAUUAAAGACACAGUUAAAUGUUUGGGCCCAUGUCAAAGUUAUUUUCAUAAAGAAUGUUUGAAUAAGAGCGAAGAAAGAUAUAAUAAGACCAAAAGUAUACCAAUGACUAAAACUAAAAUUAAAAAAACGUCUGGUCGCCGUAAAAGGCAUUACUCAAAAAUCACACAGAAAAAUGAAGGUUCUAUUGUUGAUAAUCCUCAGCUUAUAAGUAACUUAGAAGAAGAAAACACUGCUAAAUUAUUUAAAAAAGAUGAUGACGUGAAAUCUAAUUGCUUGCAGACCUUAUCUCAAACCCAAUGUUCUAGUUAUACUAAUGAAGAAACCAUAUCGCUUAAUCAAUUUGAAUCGGAUGAACUAUUUAAAAAUGAUAAUUGCAUUCUUACUGAAAAUGAUAAUACUCAAAGUGAAUUAGAAAGUGUAAAUGAAGAUUCUAUUUCGGGAACAUCUGAAGAAAAAAAUGUUACUCCAACUGUACCAAUCAACAUUGAUGAAAAAAUAUCAUUGGAUAAUUUAAAAUAUAUGUGCAGCCUAUGUAAAGCUGGUAAAACAAACUGUUUUGUGUGUGGCUUGGAUAUUGACGAUCCUGGACAAAAGAUUGUUUGUAAAAUAUCCAGCUGUGGAAAAUAUUUUCAUGAAUCUUGUUUAAAAGAUUGGCCUCAAUGUCAGUGGAUUCAAGGAUCACGGAACAAUGUCCGAUGUGUAGUAUGUCCACAUCAUGUUUGUCAUUUAUGCAUUUCGGAUAACCCUAAAAGUUCAUGUACAACUCAUUUUCCCGCUGAAAAAAUAACCCGGUGUAUAAAAUGCCCAACAGCCUAUCAUAGAAGUGAAUACUGUUUACCAGCUGGUUGUCAAGUCUUAACAUACAAUGAUAUUAUUUGCAGUCGACAUUUUGAACCUGUUAAAGUGCAAAUAUAUCAUUAUAAUGCUACCUGGUGUUUUAUUUGUGCAUUAGGAGGUGGUUCAUUAGUUUUCUGUGAUUUGUGUCCAUCGUCAUUCCACAUUGAUUGUUUAAAUCAGGAUCCAUCAGAAUUUGAAGGCGGUUUUACUUGUGAAGAAUGUCAAACUGGACGAUAUCCUCUAUAUGGUGAAAUUGUAUGGGUUAAGAUUGGAAACUAUAGAUGGUGGCCAGCUCAAAUUAUUUUCCCAAAUGAAGUUCCUGAUACUGUAAGUGCAAUAUCACAUUCUGUUGGACAAUUUGCUGUUCGAUUUUUUGGAACAUAUGAUUAUUAUUGGGUAAAUCGAGGACGAGUAUUUAACUUUCAUGAAGGGGAUGAUGAGAAUGUUUUAAGAAAAAAUAAUGUGAAGGUUAUAGAUAAAGUGUUUCAAGAUUCUAUUUUAGAAGCAGCUCAAGCCCAUAGUGCUUAUAUUAAAGAAAAGGAAAAAAAUGAUGCUAUAGUAGCAAAAUCUUUUACGAAGCCUCCAAAAUUUACAAGAAUAAAAUUCAACAAACCCAUUGGCAAUGUCAAAAAUAUGGAAUUUGAUAUUACCGCAAUGACUCCCUGUGAAUGUGAUCCCACAAAGCCAAACCCAUGUGGUCCCGGUUCUGAUUGUAUAAAUAGAAUGCUUAUGUUUGAAUGUGAACCAAAAGUAUGUCCUGCUGGAGACAAAUGUAAUAACCAAAGAUUUGAAAAAACAUUGUACCCUGCUAUGGUCCCGUUUUUGACUAAAGGUAGAGGUUGGGGUCUUAAGACAUUAGAAGAUAUAAAAGAAGGUUCAUUUGUGAUCGAGUAUGUCGGUGAUGUAAUUGAUGAAGAAGAAUUUCAAAGGAGAUGCUUGGAAAUGCAUCAAAGGAAUGAACAAAAUUAUUAUUUUUUGACUAUUGAUAAUUCUAGAACAAUUGACGCUGGGCCAAAAGGAAAUUUAUCAAGGUUUAUGAACCAUUCGUGUGAACCUAAUUGUGUAACCCAAAAAUGGACAGUGAAUGGAGAUACUAGAAUUGGACUUUUUGCUUUACAAGACAUUCCAACUGGUACAGAGCUGGUUUUUGAUUACCGUUUGCAGAGUUGCGCGGGAGUAGAGAAAAAACCUUGUCAAUGUGGAGCUACAAGAUGUUCUAAAUUUAUUGGAGUGAAAGUGGAAGAAGAGAAAAAGAAAGUAAUUUCAAGUAACGAUGUUGAUAAGUGCAAGGUUUCUUCAAAAAACAAACGAAAACCGUUAAAACUGAAGGAUAAUGUUUCUGACUCAGACAAGUCAAAAUUAUCUAAAGUAAUUAGCAAUGAUCAAAAGAUAUCUACAACUGAAAAUAAGGUUGAAGCAUCUAAUGCUGAGAAAAUUGUACUUUCCAAAAAAUCCAAAUCUAAAACAUCUAUUGGAAAAUCAUCAACUACCUCAAAAAAUGCAAAUUUGGAACCCUCAGAAACACCUGCUGUUGUUAAAGGGAAAUGGAAAAAUUCAGCUAGGAACAUCGCCAAUAUCACCAAAGAUGACAUUACAGUUGAUGAUUCUACGCAAUCCGAAGAAAAUGUUGGUUCAAAAAGAAAGCUAAAGAAUGGUUUAUCCUCGCUUUCUUCGAGAAAACUUCUGAUAAAAGUUUAUACGUGCUUUUCGUGUUUUAGGAUGAUACAUCGGUUACAGACAAUUCUGUUAUAGUGAAAAAGGAUAGAAAAUUCAACAGUUAUAAAAAAAAGAAUCUGAUAAAACAAAAUUUGUCACCUGUGCCAUCACCUAUCCUAACCAAGUUAUCAUCAGCUAAAACUUUAUAUUCUUCUGAAGAUAAAGGCAAUGAUAUUAAGUCUGACAAAUCAACAAGACCUCAAGAACA
rnacentral:misc_RNA from 1 species